GACGAACGCUGGCGGCGUGCCUAAUACAUGCAAGUCGAACGAGAGCGACCGGUGCUUGCACUGGUCAAUCUAGUGGCGAACGGGUGAGUAACACGUGGGUAACCUGCCCAUCAGAGGGGGAUAACAUCCGGAAACGGAUGCUAAAACCGCAUAGGUCUUCGAACCGCAUGGUUUGAAGAGGAAAAGAGGCGCAAGCUUCUGCUGAUGGAUGGACCCGCGGUGCAUUAGCUAGUUGGUGAGGUAACGGCUCACCAAGGCCGUGAUGCAUAGCCGACCUGAGAGGGUGAUCGGCCACAUUGGGACUGAGACACGGCCCAGACUCCUACGGGAGGCAGCAGUAGGGAAUCUUCCGCAAUGGGCGCAAGUCUGACGGAGCAACGCCGCGUGAGUGAAGAAGGUUUUCGGAUCGUAAAACUCUGUUGUUAGAGAAGAACACGUGCUAGAGUAACUGUUAGCGUCUUGACGGUAUCUAACCAGAAAGCCACGGCUAACUACGUG
rnacentral:rRNA from 1 species